rnacentral:rRNA from 1 species
CUUACCAGGAUCGACAGCAGAGUGAAGGCCAGAUUGAAGGUCUUGCUAGACGAGCUGAGAGGAGGUGCAUGGCCAUCGCCAGUCGUGCCGUGAGGUGUCCUCUUAAGUGAGGUAACGAACGAGACCCCCACCCCAUGUUGCCAUCAGGAUCUAAAGGAUCGCUGGGCACUCUUGGGGGACCGCUGCCGACAAGGCUGAGGAAGGUGGGGGCCACGGUAGGUCAGUAUGCCCCGAAUAUCCUGGGCCACACGCGGGCUGCAAUGGUAGGGACAGAGGGCUGCAACAUCGAGAGAUGGAGCCAAUCCCUAAACCCUACCUCAGUUGGGAUCGAGGGCUGCAACCCGCCCUCGUGAACAUGGAAUGCCUAGUAACCGCGCGUCAUCAUCGCGCAGUGAAUACGUCCCUGCUCCUU